UAUUACGGAAUACUUAAGCGGUGUGGGGUUUUUGGGAAUUUGGAUUCCUACUCUUGGGUUUGUGUUUUGGAAGAAACUGAAGGGACUCAUUGCAUACGCUCACAAUGUACAUUUCUAUGGGGCCCUACUGUCACACCAUCUGAGAAAUUGAGGUUAAAUGAUUUGACCACGACCCUGGAGCUAGCAAAGAUUCCAAAUCUAGAAUUACGUUUGCACUUCGCUUUUUCAACAGCCAAAUACAUGUACACACAUAAGUCACACAGUAGAUGUAGGCAGAGAGGGAAGGUCUACACCAGAUGCUCCAAGACAUUUGGAGGAGAGAACACUCCUGGCUGCGGAGAUAGGGCAAAGGAAAUUUCUGAGAGAAAUGAAGGAUUUCUACAGGAAAAGACUGUAAGGAAGCGCGUUUUAGAGUUAGGUCACUGCCUAUUGUAAUGCACAGAGGCCAGAGGAGGGCAGUAUGGGAUUGGGAAACUGCGCCAAUUAGAUUAAUCAUUGAAGCUUGUAAACUUUCAAAACGGUUGAAUUAAAAUAGGAAAGUUAAUGUUUAUACAGCUGUCAACUAGGAAAAAAAAUCACUCUUUAAUCAAGGGGAAAAAGGGAUUCAGCGCUACUAAGUUCCGACAACGGAGCUGCUCUCCGAGACUGCACAGAGUCUGGACGCCCUGAUCACUAAACCCUGGGAGUGCCACCCACUCAGGAUAGACUCUGAGGAACCAAAGAAUUUGGGGAACCUAUAUACCACUCCAGAUGACCUGGGGGCUUAGGAUGAGAGGGACAGUUGAUUGACUUUACAAUGGUGGUCUUCGACCUGAAUUUUUGGAUCUUGGACUGGGACUAUGGCUUGGAGCUAUGAUUUGAGACUUUGACCUGGGAUUCUGGCUCUUGGACUGCUUCUGGUAAGACUGCUCCUGGAUCGUCUUUGGAGCUUUGGCUUGGGAGUGUCCCAUCCUGGGGUUCCAGGAGAGCUCAAGGAGCAUCUCACCUGCCCACAAUGAAGUCUGCAAGAGUGGAGAUCAAAAAGUUGGAGGAUCUUGGACUGGGACUUCAACUUGGAGCUAGGACUUGGACCUGGGACUCUGGAUCUUAGACUGCUUCUAGUAAGACUGCUCCUGGAUCUUCUUACUUUGGUGCUUCAUCUUGGGUGAGUGAAAAGCUGCCUCUCCUUUCCUGGCUUCUGGAGAGAUUCAUUCUGGAGAGGCCUCCCCUUCUUGUAGGAGGUCACAUGGGUUGGACCCUUGUUUAAUUCACCACUGAGUCCUAUGACUGAGGGGUUAAUGAGCUCUGCCUGGGUUGAGCCAGGGACAGAGCAACAUUAGGGUGAUAGGCAAGACAUUUUCUCUACCUUCUUUUACAUUCCUCUACUUUCACUUUUUCCACCUCUUUGUAAAUAAAACUAUUGAAAGUCAAUUUGACUUGAGCUAUACUAUUUUUAAAUUGGUGACUAUAAUAUUAUCUUAAGAUUCUUAUAUAUAUAGUCCAACCACAAAAUUUAAUUCCUUUUGGGGGGAGAAUUACCCACAAAUAGAGAAUUACAUACCUACCUACAGAAGUGUCCUUCUUCCAAAAAUGUCUUAUCUUUAACCUAUUUGUAUUGAUUCAUUUCAUAUUUAUGGUGCAUACAUACAUAUAUAUAUGGUACAUAUAUAUGUACUUGUGGAUAUAUAUAAUAUGAAUAUGUAUGUGUAUAUAUGUAUGUAUAUGUUUAUAUAAUUGUCAAGUCUCCCCUACAUUAGAGCCUCCUGUUACAUUAGAAUGUAAAACUCUUUGUUAGGAGGGAUUAUUUCAUUCUUUGUACUUCUAUCCUUGGCCCCUAGCACAAUGGUUGGCAGGUAGUACUUAUAGAUUGGUUGGAUCAACAAGCAUUUAUUAGGCAGUUAUUAUGCAUAUGCUGUGUUAUACAUACAAAGAAAGGCUGAACUAGAUCCUGUCUUUAAAAAGGGAAAUGUAAAUAACACUCAUUAUAGCAAAUAAAGUUUUCUUUCUUUCUUUUUUUACAGUAGUGGUGAAGGGAGUGAGUCAUAGUGUAAAUGAUUUACAUUUUACCAAGAAUACUAAUAUUUGAUUAUUGUUUUCAGAGUAGGGGGUAGAAAGUGGGGUGGGAAGCCAAGGUAGAGUAGAACUGCAUGGCAAAAAGAAAGUAGGAAUAUAUCAUGGUGGACCUGGAAGUGCCACAACAUAAUGAACUCUCAUCAAGAAUACAGGACCCAGGGUAGGAGCAGCAGUUGUUAGGUUAGAAGUUGA